rnacentral:tRNA from 1 species
GCCGACGUGGCUGAGUGGUUGAAGGCACCGCACUUGUAAUGCGGUCCGAAAGGCAUCGCCGGUUCGAAUCCGGCCGUCGGCU